CACCAUGAUAAAGCUAAGCAUUAUAAGAAUACUGCUGAAUAUACGAGCAGGCCUCUUUUGGAUUACAACCUUUCAACUGAUAGCUAGUUUUCUUUUAAGCUCUACCGAAAGCAACCCCUAUUAGUAGUGACUAGUUUCUCAACCAUAUUUGCAUGCUAAUCCGCCAGUGUGCGACAGACUUUAUAAGUGGCGACGAGAAAAAAAAGUACCUUUUAGUGCGCGUGUGAAUUUUUCUUGCGGAUUGUGAACAGUGGUUUACUAGGCAAACGACGAAAAACAGCACUGCAACCAUCCGUACAAGGCGGCAAUUUUGUCAGCGUUCACAGCAGGACAAGUUUACAGCCAGGAAGUAAGAGAGUGUAAUACAUCCGGAUAAUUGUUCGGAUUGAGGAUAAACCGUUUGGAAAUACAAUUCAGUUUACUGGUGGUUUGGUUGCCGGUUCGCUCUUGGAAAGCUGUGUCGUCGGUUUGAUAUACCGGUGAUUGCGUCCGUCAUCGUUGAAAUUUAACAGCAUAAGUGUGAAGCGACAUCGUUCGUAAUGGCUCAAAUGGCGGCCACGAUUGAACCGUACCGCAAAGGAGCAUCCUUUUCGGAUUGGGUGGAGCGCCUUGGUUAUUUUUUCGCAGUGAGCAACGUGGCCGAAGAAGCAAAAAAAAUCACACUUUAUAACCCUUAGUGGGCCAUCGGUUUUUUCCGAAUUGAAAUUACUGUUUCCAAAUAGCGAUUUAGCGAAUGUUGCUUACGAAACAUUGAUAGAAAAGCUUAAAGCACGUUUCGACAAGGUCGAAUCCGACAUAAUACAACGUUUCAAAUUCAAUAAUCGUAAGCAACAUCCGGACGAAUCGGCUGAGGAUUUUGUCCUUGCAAUCAAACUACAAGCAGAAUUCUGCAAUUUUAAAAAUUUUAAAGGUGAAGCGAUUCGUGAGCGCAUUGUUGCUGGUUUGAGAGAUCAGACUCUCCAGCAACGAUUGCUAAAUGAGCAAAAUUUGACGCUUGAAUCGGCUGAAAAACUAAUAGCUACGUGGGAGAUGGCAGGGGCAAAUGCUAAAUCGUUGGGAAUCGGUACCAAUUCUGAUCAAAUUGCUUUUAUGAAUCAUGAUAUUAGAAGACCUCGUGGCCUUGCUUUAGAAAAGUUAGCAGCAACCUUUGCUAAGGCUAGGGCAAAUACAAAUGAAUCUCGACAAGCAGGUUUUAGGGACUCAGUAAAAAAUCGUUUGGGAUUCAAACCAUACAAUAGAGAGAAGGAUGGCAGAUUUAAAAAUUUUGCAGAUUUUCGUCCAGCUGAGUGGAGGGAUGAACAGGAUGUACGCCGUGUCGAGAGCCGUGUCUGCGAUUUUUGUGGAAUAAAAGGGCAUUUGAAGCGAAAAUGCUUCAAAUUAAAAAACCUUCGUAGGAAUGCGGUCCAGUUUGCGGACUCGGGAGCAGGACCAAGCAGUUUAAGCGAUUUAUUCAACCGUUUGGAGACAAAUGCUUCGGACGACGAGGACGAUAAGAAUGAUUCAGAUUCUUGUUGGAAGCGUCGUGGUGCUGGCCCAUCGAACGCAACUGCGAGUGGUCAAGAGGGACGUUAAACCGAUACGACCGAAUGUGGUAAUUACCGCAACGGCGCGAGAUACAACGAUGAUACCAGCACAAAACGACAUCGAAUCCGAGUUCAGGGGUUUCUCUGAAGAGGAAAUAAGAAGAGGAGUCAAAAGAGGAAUUCAAGAGGUGAAUUCACCACAUGUUCAACUUCGACGAUCGAAACGAGCUAAAACAAAAAGGAUGGACAGAAACUUCAUCUAUUCUGAGCAGCAGCAUGAGAAGAAAAAAAAAUUUAUUGCAUAAGUGAAAAAUAUUUAAUCUUAAGCCUAAAACUUUAAUGCAUUAAGAAGAAAAUAAGCAUGAACUUUUAAGAAGUUGAUUUUUGUCGAUUUCGAAUCAUUCGUAAAAUUGAUAAUUUUGUUCAACUAUCAAAUUUGAUUACAUUACUUGCUUUAAGGAGGAAGAGCUGUGGUAUCAGCAUUCGAAUAUGUAUAUUUGUUUCAGUGUACCGAUGAAUUGUACUAAAGUCUUUGACAUUAUCUAUAAAGUGUCUAUUAGAUAUUUAGUGUGUUAACUGACACACACACCAUGAUAAAGCUAAGCAUUAUAAGAAUACUGCUGAAUAUACGAGCAGGCCUCUUUUGGAUUACAACCUUUCAACUGAUAGCUAGUUUUCUUUUAAGCUCUACCGAAAGCAACCCCUAUUAGUAGUGACUAGUUUCUCAACCAUAUUUGCAUGCUAAUCCGCCAGUGUACGACAGACUUUAUAGUAUGUUUUCACGUAAAAGCAACGUGAUUUAUUUUCUAAUGGCGAUACGUCAACAUUUCAUAAGGCAUUAUAUACAAUAUGCUCAUGUCGAGAAAAUGGCGUCUGAAAAAUUGCCUCGUUCUUUAUAUUCCCAUUUAUAAACAGGAGCUUGAUUUAAAGACCAAACAACUCAAUGCCGUGUUAAAUUAACUAUUUUUUCCGAAUAAUA